UGAUUUCUGUAAUUUUUUUUUUGGUGGGCUUAAUGAUUCAGUAAUAUAUUUGUGAUUCUGCUUUUGGGAGACGAGUACAAUAACCUCUUUGUUUGUCAACGACUUAAUUGAUGUGGCCUUUUAUUGUCAUAUAGUGUUUGGAUGAUAAGAAACGCGGAGAAGAUUUUUACCAGUGAAAUAAAAAAUUUUAAUGAAAUUCGUUGUCUUCACUUUUUUAUGUACCGGUGGAUGUUGCUUCUAUUUUCUGUUGUGAUCCUUUACUAUGAGUUCUAGUAUGGUUGUGCACCCAAAAGUUGAAUUUUGA
rnacentral:misc_RNA from 1 species